rnacentral:misc_RNA from 1 species
AAAGUCGUAACAAGGUUUCCGUAGGUGAACCUGCGGAAGGAUCAUUACAAAUCUCGAGGUGUGAGUUUGGCGGGGGGCGGCAGUCUGGUCUUCUAGGCUGCUGCUCUUGGCUGAACGAGCACACAUUGACACAGGGCCGCGAGGCUCUGAUGUUUACGCUUGUUUGUUUGACAGAGUAAUGAUGUAACAUUAUAAAUAUAGACAACUUUUAACAAUGGAUCUCUUGGCUCUU